rnacentral:rRNA from 1 species
GACGAACGCUGGCGGCGUGCUUAACACAUGCAAGUCGAGCGGUAAGGCCCUUUCGGGGGUACACGAGCGGCGAACGGGUGAGUAACNCGUGGGUGACCUGCCCUCAGCUCUGGGAUAAGCCUGGGAAACUGGGUCUAAUACUGGAUAUGACUCCACGGUGCAUGUCGUGGGGUGGAAAGCCUUGUGCGGCUGAGGAUGGGCCCGCGGCCUAUCAGCUUGUUGGUGGGGUGAUGGCCUACCAAGGCGACGACGGGUAGCCGGCCUGAGAGGGCGACCGGCCACACUGGGACUGAGACACGGCCCAGACUCCUACGGGAGGCAGCAGUGGGGAAUCUUGCGCAAUGGGCGAAAGCCUGACGCAGCGACGCCGCGUGAGGGAUGACGGCCU